rnacentral:rRNA from 1 species
UACGUAGGGGGCAAGCGUUGUCCGGAAUCAUUGGGCGUAAAGAGCGUGUAGGCGGCCAGAUAAGUCCGCUGUGAAAUCUCGAGGCUCAACUUCGAGCUGUCGGUGGAAACUGUCUGGCUAGAGUCCGGAAGAGGAGAAUGGAAUUCCUGGUGUAGCGGUGAAAUGCGCAGAUAGUCGGGAGGAACACCAAUGGCGAAGGCAGCUCGCUGGGACGUUACUGACACUGAGGCGCGAAAGCGUGGGGAGCGAACAGG